rnacentral:misc_RNA from 1 species
UGCAGCAACACGUGAAUAUGCUCCUCUGGUUGAAGAGGUAUGGAAGGAUCCUGCUAUACAGGAAACAUACAAGAGAAGAAAUGAGCUUCAUUUUCUUCCAGAUGUGGCGGAUUACUUCUUGAGCAAGGCUGUGGAGGUAUCAAGCAAUGAGUAUGCUCCUUCGGAGCAAGACAUUCUGUAUGCAGAAGGAGUUACGCAAGGUAAUGGGUUGGCCUUUAUGGAGUUCCAAUUGGAUGAUCGUAGCCCAAUGUCUGAAACCUAUGGAGACAAUCUGGAAGCUCCUCCCCCUCUCACCAGGUAUCAGCUAAUUCGACUAAAUGCCAAAGGAAUGAAUGAAGGAUGCAAAUGGGUGGAGAUGUUUGAAGAUGUCCGUGUCGUAGUAUUCUGUGUUUCCCUUAGUGAUUAUGAUCAGAUGUGGGUUGCUCCAGAGGAAAAUGGUAGCGGUGCACUACUCCAGAACAAGAUGAUGCAUAACAGGGAACUUUUCGAAACAAUGAUCAGGCAUCCUUGUUUCAAAGAGACCCCAUUUGUUUUAGUAUUGAACAAGUAUGACCUGUUUGAGGAAAAGGUCAACCGUGUGCCAUUGGGCGCUUGUGAAUGGUUCACUGACUUCAGUCCGUUGAGACCUCACACCAAUAGCCAG